CUACGGGGUGCAGCAGUGAGGAAUAUUGGGCAAUGGGCGCAAGCCUGACCCAGCCAUGCCGCGUGAAGGAUGAAUGCCCUAUGGGUUGUAAACUUCUUUUUUACGGGAAGAAACUCCUGAACGUGUUCGGGAUUGACGGUACCGUAUGAAUAAGCAUCGGCUAACUCCGUGCCAGCAGCCGCGGUAAUACGGAGGAUGCAAGCGUUAUCCGGAUUUAUUGGGUUUAAAGGGUGCGUAGGCGGGAUAAUAAGUCAGUGGUGAAAGCCUGUAGCUUAACUAUAGAAAUGCCAUUGAUACUGUUGUCCUUGAGUACAGUUGAGGUAGGCGGAAUGUGUAAUGUAGCGGUGAAAUGCUUAGAUAUUACACAGAACACCGAUUGCGAAGGCAGCUUACUAAGCUGGUACUGACGCUGAGGCACGAAAGCGUGGGGAGCAAACAGGAUUAGAUACCCGUGUAGUC
rnacentral:rRNA from 1 species